rnacentral:rRNA from 1 species
GACGAACGUUGGCGGCGUGCUUAAUACAUGCAAGUCAACUGAAGCAGUGGUAGCAAUAUCGCUGUGGAGGUGGCGCACGGGUGAGUAACACGUAGGUAAUCUGCCUUCAGGUCUGGCAUAACUCCGGGAAACCGGGGCUAAUAGCAGAUGAUGCAGCGGCUCGACAUCGAGACAGUUGUUAAAGCUAUGUCGCCUGAAGAUGAGCCUGCGUCUGAUUAGCUAGUUGGCGGGGUAACGGCCCACCAAGGCAACGAUCAGUAGCUGGUCUGAGAGGGUGAUCAGCCACACUGGAACUGAGACACGGUCCAGACUCCUACGGGAGGCAGCAGUAAGGAAUAUUGCUCAAUGGGAGAAAUCCUGAAGCAGCAACGCCGCGUGAGGGACGAAGGGCUUUUGCUUGUAAACCUCUGUAGUGAGAGAAAAAAAUCCCAAUCUUUGGGACAUGAUGGUAUCUCAAAAGUAAGCCCCGGCUAACUACGUG